rnacentral:rRNA from 1 species
UACGGGGGGGGCAAGCGUUUGUUCGGAAUUACUGGGCGUAAAGGGUGCGUAGGCGGUUCGCUAAGUUGGAUGUGAAAACUAUGGGCUCAACCCAUAGCCUGCAUCCAAUACUGACGAACUAGAGUUCUGGAGGGGGUAGCGGAAUUCCUGGUGUAGCGGUGAAAUGCGCAGAUAUCAGGAAGAACACCCGUGGCUAAGGCGGCUCUCUAGUACGGUACUGACGCUGAGACGCGAAAGCGUGGGGAGCGAACAGG